rnacentral:tRNA from 1 species
GGGCCCGUAGCUUAGCAAGGCAGAGCAUCGGACUCUUAAUCCGAGGGUCACGGGUUCAAUUCCCGCCGGGCCCGCCA